CCCGCUGAACUUAAGCAUAUCAGUAAGCGGAGGAAAAGAAACUAACGAGGAUUCCCUCAGUAACGGCGAGUGAACGGGGAAGAGCCCAGCGCUAAAUCCUGUUGCUCUAACGGGUAACGGGAGGUGUAGCGUAUAGUAGGCGAAUUUCCUUGAUGGCUGUCGACUUAAAUUCUCCUUGACUGGGGUUCCAGAGAAGGUGAAAGGCCUGUUCAGUCGAUGGCCGUCUUGGAUUCCGUUCUACUUGGAGUCGGGUUGUUUGGGAACGCAGCCCAAAUUGGGUGGUAAACUUCAUCUAAGGCUAAAUACGGCCACGAAACCGAUAGCAAACAAGUACCGUGAGGGAAAGUUGAAAAGUACUUUGAAGAGAGAGUUCAAGAGGACGUGAAACCGGUAGGAUGGAAACGGAUAGAGCCAACGAACAAGCCCGUAUUCAGCUAGUCGGCUGCGUGUGGCAUGCCUGUGUGCUCGUUCAGGGUGCAUGGGUGUGUGCGGUAUGCGGUCGGCUAGUGCAUUUGCGGGUGAUGUGCGCUGAGGCGUGUGGCGGAGUCCUGCAAACUGUCUGGAGAGGCCUCGCCUUCGGGCUUGAAACCUACAGGCGGGGAGUCGGGUUUCUGCUGCAUGUAGACGAAGCGGCUAGGUGCAAACGCGCUGUCGUGCUGCCGGGCUAGCUGCUUGGCCGGUCGCAUGCGACUAGGUCUUGUUGGUUGGUCUUGGUGGUACGGCAGUGCCCUGGUCGACCCUCGGUGUAAAAGUUGGUCAUCUCUCCGACCCGUCUUGAAACACGG
rnacentral:rRNA from 1 species